rnacentral:rRNA from 1 species
GACGAACGCUGGCGGCGUGCUUAACACAUGCAAGUCGAACGGUAAGGCCCUUCGGGGUACACGAGUGGCGAACGGGUGAGUAACACGUGGUGAUCUGCCCUGCACUUCGGGAUAAGCCUGGGAAACUGGGUCUAAUACCGGAUAGGACCACUGCCUGCAUGGGUGGUGGCGGAAAGCUUUUGCGGUGUGGGAUGGGCCCGCGGCCUAUCGGCUUGUUGGUGGGGUGAUGGCCUACCAAGGCGACGCCGGGUAGCCGGCCUGGGAGGGUGACCGGCCACACUGGGACUGAGAUACGGCCCAGACUCCUACGGGAGGCAGCAGUGGGGAAUAUUGCACAAUGGGCGCAAGCCUGAUGCAGCGACGCCGCGUGAGGGAUGACGGCCUUCGAGUUGUAAACCUCUUUCAGCACCGACGAAGCGCAAGUGACGGUAGGUGCAGAAGAAGGACCGGCCAACUACGUGCCAGCCGCCGCGGUAA